CCUACGGGGGGCAGCAGUAGGGAAUCUUCGGCAAUGGGGGGAACCCUGACCGAGCAACGCCGCGUGAGUGAAGAAGGUUUUCGGAUCGUAAAGCUCUGUUGUAAGAGAAGAACGAGUGUGAGAGUGGAAAGUUCACACUGUGACGGUAUCUUACCAGAAAGGGACGGCUAACUACGUGCCAGCAGCCGCGGUAAUACGUAGGUCCCGAGCGUUGUCCGGAUUUAUUGGGCGUAAAGCGAGCGCAGGCGGUUAGAUAAGUCUGAAGUUAAAGGCUGUGGCUUAACCAUAGUACGCUUUGGAAACUGUUUAACUUGAGUGCAAGAGGGGAGAGUGGAAUUCCAUGUGUAGCGGUGAAAUGCGUAGAUAUAUGGAGGAACACCGGUGGCGAAAGCGGCUCUCUGGCUUGUAACUGACGCUGAGGCUCGAAAGCGUGGGGAGCAAACAGGAUUAGAUACCCGGGUAGUC
rnacentral:rRNA from 1 species